CGAGACACCCGUUCGCGGCGGCCGUUUGAUAUUUCCGUCGCCGUGUCGGACGUCGCGACCUGUUCGCCCGUCGGUCCCUGCUCGGAGGAGGCGCGAUCGAGCUCGUUGCGCGGUACGUUCCGGCGUGCCGUGCGGCGAAGACGCGACCCUCUGGCUGACGGCGGACAGUAAGCAACGGUGUCCGGCGUCGUGUCUCGCACUCGACGUCGGUGCCGGUCUGCGACGAUUUCUUCGGGCCUCUUUCCGACCCGUCUUGAAACACGGACCAAGGAGUCUAACAUGCGCGCGAGUCGCGGGGCAUCGAGCGCACCACGGUGCGCUCGUCAUGUACGAAACCCGUCUCUGAAAGGCGUAAUGAAAGUGAACAGGGAAGAUGGCGUUCCGAGUCCACGUACCGUGAUCGAGUGUCGCGGCCGGACGUCCGCACUCCCGGGGCGUCUCAAUGGCUCGUCGCGGACGCUAGUCUGCGUCGGACCGAGGCGCACCUACAGCGUGCACGUUGGUACCCGAAAGAUGGUGAACUAUGCCUGGCCAGGAUGAAGUCAGGGGAAACCCUGAUGGAGGUCCGCAGCGAUUCUGACGUGCAAAUCGAUCGUCUGAGCUGGGUAUAGGGGCGAAAGACUAAUCGAACCAUCUAGUAGCUG
rnacentral:rRNA from 1 species